UGACCUCAAAUCAGGUAGGACUACCCGCUGAACUUAAGCAUAUCAAUAAGCGGAGGAAAAGAAACUAACAAGGAUUCCCCUAGUAACUGCGAGUGAAGCGGGAAAAGCUCAAAUUUUGAAUCUGGCGGUCUUUGCAGACCGUCCGAGUUGU
rnacentral:rRNA from 1 species